UAGGGAAUAUUGGUAAUGUGCGAAAGCGCGAACCAGCAACGCCGCGUGCACGAUGAAGGCCUUCGGGUCGUAAAGUGCUUUUAGAGAGGAUGAGGAAGGACAGUACUUUCUGAAUAAGCCUCGGCUAACUACGUGCCAGCAGCCGCGGUAAAACGUAGGAGGCUAGCGUUAUCCGGAUUUACUGGGCGUAAAGCGCGUGCAGGUGGUUUCGUAAGUUGGAUGUGAAAGCUCCUGGCUUAACCGGGAGAGGUCGUUCAAAACUGCGAGGCUUGAGAUUGGUAGAGGAAAGUGGAAUUCCGGGUGUAGUGGUGAAAUGCGUAGAUAUCCGGAGGAACACCAGUGGCGAAAGCGGCUUUCUGGACCAAUUCUGACACUCAGACGCGAAAGCUAAGGUAGCAAACGGG
rnacentral:rRNA from 1 species